UACGAACUGUGCGAACGUUAUUCGGAAUCACUGGGCUUACAGGGUGCGUAGGCGGCUUGUCAAGUAGGGUGUGAAAGCCCCCGGCUUAACCGGGGAAUUGCGCCCUAAACUGGCGAGCUGGAGUGAGAUAGGGGUGUGUGGGACUUCCGGUGGAGCGGUGAAAUGUGUUGAUAUCGGAAGGAACGCCGGUGGCGAAAGCGACACACUGGAUCUUGUCUGACGCUGAGGCACGAAAGCCAGGGGAGCGAACGGG
rnacentral:rRNA from 1 species